UUUGCCGUAAGUCUCGCGCAAGGUGGUCCAGCUCCACGAUAUUUACAGGAAUGGUGUUACAAUUACCUUCUAAGUGGAAACCUUGAAAACAUCAAGAUCGAGGAGACUUCAGACCUGUCGAAAUACAGUGAUCAAAUAAUGAGCUGUGGCUACACUGGCCCUAUAAAUGAGCAAAACAAGGAGAAUAUAAAGAGAGCAAUUGCAAUGCAUGCCGCUGCUCGACGGACUCGCAUGCUUCAACAGCUCCGUGAGGGUCUCCAACUUUACCGUCUAGUGGAUAUCAUGGAGAAGAACAAAGAAGUUUGCCAUAGCCACUUUGUUUUUGAAGGUGGCAAUGAUC